CAAUACUCAGUCAAAUAGAUAAAGGAACAAGCCCACGUGAAACAAGCUGAUCUCAUCAGAUAUUAGGCUCAGCCUAAUCCCAAACGCCCCAGGGGUGCGAAUGCAGCACACAUAACCGCACAAUUGGAGAAGAUGAGUCAAUCCAUAUUCCGGCAAGACAUGAAAACAGAGUUUCGGUAAAAAAUCAGAAACAACAAACACCAAAGUCAAUCAAAGAAACACAAUCGAAAAAUCAGUGGGAGCAAGUGCCCCCCUGCCCCAGGCAUAGAUCCGUCGCUGCCCAGCCUCCUCCAAAUUCUCUCUCGUUGCCGGAGAUUUCAGGGGGGUCAUAUGGCCCCCCCCUCGACCCCCCUGGUUCCGCCUCUGCGUGUGGCAGAUGUGGUACUGGAGAUAUUCGCAUUGGGACAACAAUUCUUGAAUGUGCUCCCUAUAAGUUUGUAAUUUGCCCGCUAUGUCGUCUAGAAGUGUAAUUGUUUGAUAGUCAAAAUAUUCUAUUCAUCCCCUGUCUAAUCUUUUAUUCCAUGUUAUAUGUUGUUUCUUAAUUUAACUUAACUAUUAAUUUACAAUUAACUUUUUAAAUUGAUAAACCUGACACUUGAAUAAGAGACAGAACAAUGGAUGAG
rnacentral:lncRNA from 1 species